AACGAACGCUAUCGGUAUGCUUAACACAUGCAAGUCGGACGGACUAAUUAUGACUUGCUCCUAUUAGGUAGUGGCAGACGGGUGAGUAACACGUGGGAAUCUGCCCAUCAGUACGGAAUAACUUUUAGAAAUAAAAGCUAAUACCGUAUAUUCUCUACAGAUGAAAGAUUUAUCGCUGAUGCAUGAGCCCGCGUCAGAUUAGGUAGUUGGUGAGGUAACGGCUCACCAAGCCGGCGAUCUGUAGCUGGUAUGAGAGGAUGAUCAGGAACACUGGGAGUGAGACAAGGCGGAGACUUCUACGGGAGGGAGCAGUGGGGAACAUUGGACACUGGGCGAAAGAAUGAUCCAGCCAUAUCGAGUGAGUGAUAAAGGCCCUAGGGUUGUAAAGCUCUUUUAGCCAGGAUGAUCAUGACGUUACCUGCAGAAAAAGACCCGGUUAACUCCGG
rnacentral:rRNA from 1 species